rnacentral:rRNA from 1 species
AGAGUUUGAUCCUGGCUCAAGAUGAACGCUGGCGGCGUGCCUAACACAUGCAAGUCAAACGGGGCGCGCAGGCUGAGGCUUUUCGGAGCGGAAGCCGGCGCUGUCCAGUGGCGGACGGGUGAGUAACGCGUGGGCAACCUGCCCUGCACUGGGGGACAACAGCCGGAAACGGCUGCUAAUACCGCAUAUGCCCGCAGCCCCGCAUGGGGCGGCGGGGGAAGCUCCGGCGGUGCAGGAUGGGCCCGCGUCUGAUUAGCUGGUUGGCGGGGCAACGGCCCACCAAGGCGACCAUCAGUAGCCCGCCUGAGAGGGUGGGCGGCCACAUUGGGACUGAGACACGGCACCAAACUCCUACGGGAGGCAGCAGUGGGGGAUAUUGCACAAUGAGGGGGAACCCUGAUGCAGCGACGCCACGUGGGCGAUGGAGUGCUUCGGCAUGUAAAGCCCUAUCAGCAGGGAAGAAAAUGACGGUACCUGACUAACAAGCCCCGGCUAAAUACGUGCCAGCAGCAGCGGUAAUACCUAUGGGGCAAGCGUUAUCCGGAUUUAUUGGGUGUAAAGGGAGCGUAGUAGGCGUGGCAAGCCUGAUGUGAAAUACCGGGGCCCAACCCCGGGGCUGCAUUGGGGACUGCCAGGCUGGAGUACCGGAGAGGCAGGAGGAAUUCUUAGUGUAGCGGUGAAAUGAGUAGAUAUUAGGAGGAACACCAGUGGCGAAGGCGGCCUGCUGGACGGUGACUGACCCUGAGGGUCGAAAGCCUGGGGAGCAAACAGGAUUAGAUCCCAUGGUAGUGCACGCGGUAUCAGAUAUAUACUAGGUGUCGGCGGGCAAAGCCCGCCGGUGCAGCAGCAAACGCAGUAAGUAUUCCACCUGGGGAGUACGUUCGCAAGAAUGAAACUCAAAGGAAUUGAUGGGGAUCCGCACAAGCGGUGGAGCAUGUGGUUUAAUUUGAAGCAACGCGAAGAACCUUACCAGGCCUUGACAUCCCGGUGACAGAGCAUGUAAUGUGCUUUCCCUUCGUGGCAGCGGAGACAGGUGGUGCAUGGUUGUCGUCAGCUAGUGUCGUGAGAUGUGUGGGUUAAGUCCAGCAACGAGCGCAACCCCUGUCCCCAGUAGCCAGCAGGUAAAGCUGGGCACUCUGGGGAGACUGCCGGGGACAACCCGGAGGAAGGCGGGGAUGACCGUCAAAUCAUCAUGCCCCUUAUGACGUGGGCUACACACGUGAUACAAUGGCGCAGACAGAGGGAGGCGAAGCUGCGAGGCGGAGCAAACCCCAGAAAUGGCGCCCCAGUUCGGUCUGCAGCCUGCAACCCGGUUGCAAGAAGCCGGAAUCGCUAGUAAUCGCAGAUCAGAAUGGUGCGGUGAAUAAGUUCCCGGGUCUUGCACUCACCGCCCGUCA